CCUCCAGUAGCUCAGCGGUAGAGCAGGGAGGACAUAUGUUGCGAUUGUGUAAUCCAUUUCUCCCCGUCGCUGGUUCGACUCCAGCCUGGAGGU